rnacentral:lncRNA from 1 species
UCAGCACAAAAAAAAAGUAUUCAAAGCAAACCAACACAAAGAAAAUAACUCGUCUUUUGGGGAAUCUAAUUAAGUUAAUUAAAAAUUAUAAAGUGAGAGUUAAACAACAAAUAAUAAAUAAUCACGAUUAAAUAAUUAAAGAGUAAGUGAGAAGUUGAAUUUGGGCCUCUUUUUGGGCCAAUUUCGCUGAAAUUUUUGCCUUCAAACCAAUCCCGUUUUUGUAUACAGCUGGUGUAUAUCAGUGUAUAUCAGCGUAUGCAUAGGCUUUUUUCAUGUAUCUCUUGCUUCCGAACACCUAUAUUUCACCUUAGCCCUGUAUUUUCACACUUUUCGGCCUGUAUAUGAGUGUAUACCGAUGUAUAUUAAUGUAUACAGGCUGCAUAUCAGUCCCCCUUUUUAGCCUUCCAGACCUGUAACGGAUUUCCGAUUUUCCAGCGAUGACCGGAGCAGACUCGAUACUCGAAAAUGCAAGGAGAUGAUGAAAAGAGUCCAAUUUGGACUCCGCAAAACAUCACAUGUAAAGAAAGUGAAAGGAAAGAAAAUUAGUAUACUCUCUUGAAUGCUUUCUAGAAAUAAAGUUUACAUGAAAACAUUACUCUACGCAUUUGCUGGAAUGAAUGUGGUAAUUAACAAAAUGUUUCAACUUCCAAUUGGCUUCCAAACAGAAAACAAGGACAUGUUUCUUCAAAAAUGUGAAAAUCGUGAAGAUGUUGACAAACCCACAUACAAGAAACAAAUUAAAAUAAAAAUUUGAGGCCUACCUCCCAACAUGCUAAAAUUUUAACCAAACUACAUGAAUAAAUAAAUUUAUGAUAUUGUAAGGAACAAUAGAUAAUUAGCUUUGGAAAGGAAAAUGAGUUUAACACUUGGAAAUACCAAACAGUGACAUAUGAUUGAAUAAAUUGCAUGAGUGCAAUUCAAUUUGGCUCACGUAACCAACUAAUAUACCAUUGUUUAUAUCAAGUUUGCUAUUCUAUAAUUCAUCUAUUCCGAAUGAUAUUAAAUGAAGCAUUCUAAUCUCACAUAACCAAAUGAACUUGAAGCUACAACAACAUAGUCAUUUUAACAAUGAAUAUAGUUUCACGUCAAUGAACCAAUGCUACUACGACAUAUUAGGAAAGACCACCAAAUCAGGCCAAAAGGAAAUGAAAUGAACAAACCCCCUGGAGACAGUAACUAACAACAUUGAUGGAAAAAUGCACUUUAGACAAGCUUUAUUUAGCUAGGGAAAUCAGUGGGGCAUAUAAUCUUACGAGUUCAACUAGGCAAAGAAAAUAAAAAGAUGGAAACAUGCUGGAUAUAUGCUUAACAAUUAGUCACGCUUACGUGGACUGAAUGAAAUUAGUUUUUUGAUAAAAAGAAAGGUAUCUUAAUACAAACGAUAAUAACUUAAGGCGAAAAAUAACAACUCUACAUUAAUACGAACCCUUAAGUAUGACUACGAAUCAUGUCUUAGAGAAUUACACACUUGAAUCAUAUGACUAUUUGACUCGAUUAUAUCCAUUUUAAUCAGAAAAGCGAACAGAUCCAUAAUGAAACGAAAGGAGGGAAAAAGCUUCAGCUACUUGACCAAGUAAACUGCACAUUCAUAGUAAUCAAACAGGGAAGAAACACACCAUUUGAGCUUCCAAAGAGAAGAAAAAGAAAUGCAAUUAAACUACUAUACAAAAUAUAACAUGAAUGAUAAACUAAAACUAAACAGAGCUGAAAAUUGCUAAAGAAAGAAGAUUACCUUCUUCCGGGCAGCGAAUGGAACAAUGACGAGCAGAGACGACUGACUUCCACCACUACACGAGACUUUGCCGAAAAGCUUGGAUGCAAGCUUCAAGAACGAAACUUUAAAAACUCGCACCUUAAAACGCUUUUACUAUCUAAGUCGAUUUAUAAAUCAAUAUUUCUCUUCUAUCUCUC